rnacentral:misc_RNA from 1 species
GAUGAAGAACGUAGCGAAAUGCGAUAAGUAAUGUGAAUUGCAGAAUUCAGUGAAUCAUCGAAUCUUUGAACGCACAUUGCGCCCUCUGGUAUUCCGGGGGGCAUGCCUGUUCGAGCGUCAUUAUAACCACUCAAGCUCUCGCUUGGUAUUGGAGUUCGCGAUCUCGCGGCUCCUAAAAUCAGUGGCGGUGCCUGUCGGCUCUACGCGUAGUAAUACUCCUCGCGAUUGAGUCCGGUAGGUUUACUUGCCAGCAACCCCCAAUUUUUACAGGUUGACCUCGGAUCAGGUAGGGAUACCCGCUGAACUUAAGCAUAUCAAUAACGGAGGA